UUCUAAAAGCUUUGUUUUCCUUCUUGUCACUUCUGUUCACUUCUUCCCGCGCCGCUGCUUCUUCGUGUGCCCUCGGACCUCUUCUUCUUGAGCAACCCCCAAGGGCCCAUGACAAGCACCCAAUGACAAAGUAGGACUUUGGCAGUUUGGGGCAGGGUUGCCAGCCUCUGCUCCCCCGCCUCCUCUCCUCAGGCCCUCCUCCCUCCCUUUAAUCUACCCUUCCCUGGCCUGUCACCCUCCCUUCCAUCUUCCCAUCCUCCCAUCUUUCCAUUUUGCUCAGUCAUCCCCAGUCAAUUAGCUUCCGAGCGUCCUACUAUUUUGUUUCCUCACUUUUGUCUUUCUAUGCUGCCUUAAAUUAUGCUGCUUUGUUGGACGAUGGUAGCAGCAGCGAGGAGGGAGGUCAAGGCUGUGGGAAUGAGGCGUCUACAAAAAUAAAAUUAAAAAAAUA